rnacentral:rRNA from 1 species
GCGGACCCCAGGUCAGCGGAUUACCCGCUGAGUUUAAAGCAUAUCAAUAAGCGGAGGAAAAGAAACUUACCAGGAUUCCCUUAUAACGGGCGAGCGAACCCGGGGAAAAGCCCAGCUUGAGAAUCGGGUGCCAUCGGGGCAUCCGAAUUGUCAGUCUGGAGAAGCGUUCCUCAGCGGCGGACCGGGCCCAAGUCCCCUGGAAAGGGGGCGCCGGAGAGGGGUGAGAGCCCCUCGUGCCCGGAACCCUGUCGCACCACGAGGCGCUGUCUACAGUCGGGUUGUUUGGAAUGCAGCCCUAAUCGGCGGUAAAUUCCGUCCAAGGACUAAAUACGGGCGAGAGGACCGAUGCGAACAAGCUACCGCGAGGGAAGAUGAAAAGGACUUUGAAAAGAGAGUCAAAGCGUGCUUGAAAUUGUCGGGAGGAAAGCGGAUGGGGCUGGCGAUGGCGCCCCGGUCGGAUGUGGGAACGGCGACGAGCCGGUCCGCCGAUACGCGCUCGGGCGUGGACCGGACGCGGGUCGUGGCGGGCGCCCAAGCCUGGUGCUCUUAUACGCCCGUGGGAGACGUCGUCGCCCGAUCGUGGGAUCCAGCACGCGCCGCUCUCGGCGUGCUUAUGCACCUUGCGUGUGCUCGGGCGUCGGUCUGCGAGCUCCCAUUCGGGGCCGUCUUGAAACAACGGACCAGGAGUCUGACAUGUGUGCGAGCAACGGCUAAGAAAACCCGUAAGGCGUAAGGAAGCUGAUUGGCGGAGAUCCCCGCGGGUGCACCGGCCGACCGACCUUGAUCUUUUAAAGGUUCGAGUGAGAGCAUGCCUGUCCGGGACCCGGAACAAGAUGGUGAAACUAUGCCUGAGCGGGGCGAAAGCCAGAGGAAACUCUGGUAUGGAGGCCCGCACGAUACUGACGUGCAAAUCGUUCGUCUGACUUGGAUAUAGGGCAAAGACUAUCGAAACCGUCUAGUAGCUGGUUCCCCUCCGAGUUUCCCUCAGGAUAGCUGGAGCCCUUAUGCGAGUUCUAUCGGGUAAAGCCAAUGAUUUAGAGGCAUCGGGGGCGCAACAGCCUCGACCUAUUCUCAAACUUUAAAUAGUUAGGGACGCGCGGCUGCUUCGUUGAGCCGCGCCACGAAAAUUGAGAGCUCCAAGUGGGCCAUUUUUGGUAAGCAGAACUUGGCGAUGCGGGCAAUGAACCGGGAAGCCGGGUUACGGUGUGCCAAACUGCGCGCUAACCUAGAACCACACAAAGGUGUUUGGUGCGAUUAAGACAGCAGGACGGGUGGUCAUGGAAGUCGAAAUCCGCUUAAGGAGGCUGUUUAAACAAAACUCACCUGCCGAAUCAACUAGCCCCGAAAAUGGAUGGCGCUAACGCGCGCGAACCUAUACCGGCCGUCGGGGCAAGGGCCAGGCCUCGAAAUGAGUAGGCACCGGCGGUCGCCGCAAAACCCGGGGCGCGGACCCGGGCGGGACGGCCGUCGGUGCAGAUCUUGGGUGUAGUAGCAAAUAUUCAAAUGAGACUUUGAGGCCGAAGAGGGGGGAAAGGUUCCAUGUGAACGGACUUGCACAUGGCGUUAGUCGGAUCCUAAGAGACGGGGGAAAGGCCCGUUCCGAUAACCGCGUUUCAGCUCGAGCUUUCGAAAGGGAAUCGAGGGUUUAAAAUUCCUGAACCGGGACGCGGCGGCUGACGGGCAACGUUAGGGGAGCCGGAGACGUCGGCGGGGGCCUUCGGGAGAGUUAUCUUUUCUGUUUAACGGCCUUGCCCACCCUGGGAAACGGCUCAGCGGAGGUUUAGGGUCCAGCGGCCGAAAGAGCACCGCACGUCGCGUGGUGUCCGGUGCGCCCCCGCGGCCCUUGAAAAUCCGGAGACCGAGUGCCGUCCGCGCCCCUGGCUCGUUAACUCAUAACCGCAUUCAGGUCUCCCAAGGGUGGAACAGCCUCUGGUCAAUGAACAAUGAGGCAAAGGGAAGUCGGCAAAAGGAUCGUAACCUCGGGAAAAGAUUGGCUCUGAGGGCUGGGCACGGGGUCCCCAGUCCCGAACCCGUCGGCUGCCGGUGCACUGCUCGAGCUGCUGCCGGCGUCAGAGAGCGGCGUCGCCCGCGUGCCUGGCCGGGGACGGACUGGGAACGGCCUCCCUCGGGCCUUCCCCGGGGCGACGAACAGUCGACUCAGAACUGGUAGGACAAGGGGGAAUCGACUGUUUAAUAAAAACAAAGCAUGUGCGAUGGUCCCUGCGAUGCUCACGCAAUGUGAUUUCUGCCCAUGCUCCUGAAUGUCAAAGUGAAAAAUUCAACCAAGCGCAGGGUGUACGGCUCGGAGAACUAUGACUCUCUUAAGGAGCCCAAAAUGCCUCGGUUCAUCUAAUAGUGACGCGCAUGAAUGGAUUAACGAGAUUCCCACUGUCCCUGUCUUACUAUCCAGCGAAACCACAGCCAAGGGAACGGGCUCUUGCAGAAUCAGCGGAGAAGAAGACCCUGUUGAGCUUUGACUCUAGCUCCGGACUUUGUGAAAUGACUUUGGAGGUGUAGGAUAAUGGGAGCUCUUCGGGCGAAAUUGAAAUACCACUACUUUUUAACGUAUAUUUUACUUAAUCCGUGAAUCGAGGCGGGGACACGGCCCCUCUUUUUGGACCCAAGGCCGGCUCGGUCGCGUCGAUCCGGCGGAAGACAUUGUCAGGUGGGAGUUUGGCUGGGGCGGCACAUACUGUUAAAAAGAUAACGCAGGUGUCCUUAAGAUGAUGCUCAACGAUGAACAGAGAAAUUCUCGUGUGGAACAAAAGGGUUAAAAGGCUCGUUUGGAUUCUGAAUUUCCAGUACGAAUACUAACCGGUGAAAGACGUGGCCUAUCGAUCCUUAGACCUUCGGAAUUUGAAGCUAGAGGUCAGGAAAGUUACCACAGGGAUUAACUGGCUUGUGGCAUCCAAGCGUUCAUAGGCGACGUUGCUUUUUGAUCCUUCGAUGUCGGCUCUUCCUAUCAUUGUGAAGCAGGAAUUUCACCAAGGUUGGAUUUUCACCCACCCAAUAGGGAACGUUGAGCUGGGUUUAGACCGUCGUAGAAGGUUAGUUUUAACCUACUGAUGCCGCGCGCAAUAGUAAUUCAACCGUUAGUACGAGAGGAACCGUUGAUAUCGCACAAUGGUUCAUUGCGCUGGUUUUGAAAAAGCAGUGGCGCGAAGCUACCGUUCGCUGGAUUAUGACUGAACCGCCUCUAAGUCAGUAAUCCGGGCUAGAAGCGACGCACCGCCCCGUCGCCCGAUUGCCGACCCGCAAGUAGGGGCCCCUGCCCCCAAGGGCACGUGGUCGUAGGUGCAGCGACCGCGGCGGGACAAGUCGCGGCCCCUCCUUGGAGCGUAAUUCCCACCGAGCGCGCGGGUAGAAUCCUUUGCGACGACCUUAAAUACGCGACGGGGUAUUGUAAGUGCCAGAGGGUUGCUGCCACGAUCCACUGAAUUCAGCCCUUUGUCGCUUCGAUUCGU